rnacentral:miRNA from 1 species
AGAUGUUUUGGGACUACAACUCCCAUCAUCCCUAGCUAGCAGAACCAGUGGUCAGGAAUGGUGGGAAUUGUAGUCUCAAAACAUCU